GCCUGGGUGGCUCAAUCAGUUAAGCGUCUGACUUCAGCUCAGGUCACGAUCUCGCGGUCCGUGAGUUUGAGCCCCGCUUCGGGCU
rnacentral:tRNA from 1 species